UACAGAGGGUGCAAGCGUUAAUCGGAGUUACUGGGCGUAAAGGGCGCGUAGGCGGUUAUUUAAGUGAGAUGUGAAAUCCCUGGGCUUAACCUAGGAACUGCAUCUUAUACUGGAUAACUGGAGUACUGUAGAGGGUAGUGGAAUUUCCGGUGUAGCGGUGAAAUGCGUAGAGAUCGGAAGGAACACCAGUGGCGAAGGCGGCUACCUGGACAGAUACUGACGCUGAGGCGCGAAAGCGUGGGGAGCAAACAGG
rnacentral:rRNA from 1 species